rnacentral:rRNA from 5 species
GGGUUGUGAGGUUAAGCGACUAAGCGUACACGGUGGAUGCCCUGGCAGUCAGAGGCGAUGAAGGGCGUGCUAAUCUGCGAUAAGCGCCGGUAAGGUGAUAUGAACCGUUAUAACCGGCGAUACCCGAAUGGGGAAACCCAGUGUGAUUCGUCACACUAUCAUUAACUGAAUCCAUAGGUUAAUGAGGCGAACCGGGGGAACUGAAACAUCUAAGUACCCCGAGGAAAAGAAAUCAACCGAGAUUCCCCCAGUAGCGGCGAGCGAACGGGGAGGAGCCCAGAGCCUGAAUCAGCAUGUGUGUUAGUGGAAGCGUCUGGAAAGGCGCGCGAUACAGGGUGACAGCCCCGUACACAAAAGCGCAUAUGCUGUGAGCUCGAUGAGUAGGGCGGGACACGUGGUAUCCUGUCUGAAUAUGGGGGGACCAUCCUCCAAGGCUAAAUACUCCUGACUGACCGAUAGUGAACCAGUACCGUGAGGGAAAGGCGAAAAGAACCCCGGCGAGGGGAGUGAAAAAGAACCUGAAACCGUGUACGUA